rnacentral:lncRNA from 1 species
GGUUAUAUAUUAUUUCUCUCUUAAGUAUUUGCAUCAGGAUUUCAUUCUUAUUCUAUAUUUCUUUCCGCACACUUCCACCUGCUGCAUGUUGGGUUGGUUGAUGCGGUUUGGAACGGAGAGGCUGAAGCGACCUAAAAAAAAUAUCGCACCAUUCGGUGGUCUUACUUUUAUUAUUUUAAAUUUUAGGAGAUUAUUUAGAGUUUUUAAGUGUAU